rnacentral:rRNA from 1 species
CAAGUCGAGCGAGAAAAGGGGGGCAACUCCCUGAGUAAAGCGGCGCACGGGUGAGUAACACGUGGGUAAUCUGCCCUGGAGUGGGGAAUAACACCGGGAAACCGGUGCUAAUACCGCAUACGAUAGCGGGAUCUGCGGAUUUCGUUAUGAAAGGAGCAAUUCGCUCUAGGAGGAGCCCGCGGCUGAUUAGCUAGUUGGUGAGGUAAUGGCUCACCAAGGCUACGAUCAGUAUCCGGUCUGAGAGGACGGUCGGACACACUGGAACUGAGACACGGUCCAGACUCCUACGGGAGGCAGCAGUGGGGAAUUUUUGGCAAUGGGGGCAACCCUGACCAAGCAACGCCGCGUGGGUGAUGAAGUCUCUUGGGACGUAAAACCCUUUCGACGGGGAAGAAACCGCAAGGUUGACGGUACCCGUAGAAGAAGCCCCGGCUAACUCCGUGCCAGCAGCCGCGGUAAUACGGGGGGGGCAAGCGUUGUUCGGAAUUACUGGGCGUAAAGGGUGCGUAGGCGGUCUGUUAAGUUGGAUGUGAAAACUCUGGGCUCAACCCANAGCCUGCAUCCAAAACUGGCAGGCUAGAGCUCUGGAGGGGGUAGCGGAAUUCCUGGUGUAGCGGUGAAAUGCGUAGAUAUCAGGAGGAACACCGGUGGCGAAGGCGGCUACCUGGACAGAAACUGACGCUGAGGCACGAAAGCUAGGGGAGCAAACAGGAUUAGAUACCCUGGUAGUCCUAGCCCUAAACGAUGGAUACUUGCUGUGACUGGGAAUUGAAUCCAGUCGUGGCGAAGCUAACGCAUUAAGUUAUCCCCCUGGGGA